rnacentral:rRNA from 1 species
UAGUCCACGCCGUAAACGAUGUGUGCUAGUUGUCGGGCCUUAAAGGUUCGGUGACGCCGCUAACGCAUUAAGCACACCGCCUGGGGAGUACGGUCGCAAGAUUAAAACUCAAAUGAAUUGACGGGGCCCGCACAAGCGGUGGAGCAUGUGGUUUAAUUCGAUGCAACGCGAAGAACCUUACCUACUCUUGACAUCCAGAGAAGCUUGAAGAGAUUCGAGUGUGCCUUCGGGAACUCUGAGACAGGUGCUGCAUGGCUGUCGUCAGCUCGUGUUGUGAAAUGUUGGGUUAAGUCCCGCAACGAGCGCAACCCUUAUCCUUGUUUGCCAGCACGUAAUGGUGGGAACUCCAGGGAGACUGCCGGUGAUAAACCGGGAGGAAGGUGGGGACGACGUCAAGUCAUCAUGGGCCCUUACGAGUAGGGGCUACACACGUGCUACAAUGGCGUAUACAGAGGGCUGCCAACUCGCGAGAGUGAGCGAAUCCC